rnacentral:rRNA from 1 species
GAUGAACGCUGGCGGCGUGCCUAAUACAUGCAAGUCGAGCGAACAGACGAGGAGCUUGCUCCUCUGACGUUAGCGGCGGACGGGUGAGUAACACGUGGAUAACUUACCUAUAAGACUGGGAUAACUUCGGGAAACCGGUGCUCAUACCUGUAAAUAUAUUCAACCGCAGGGAUCAAUAGCUAAAGAGGGUUUUGCUGUCCACUAUAGAUAGUUCCGGGACGCAUUAGUUAGUUGGUAAGGUAACGGUUUACCAAAGCGACGAUGCGUAGCCGACCUGGGAGGGGAGUCGGCCACACUGGACCUGAGACACGGUACAGACCCCACCGGGAGGCAGGGGUGGGGAAACGUCUGCAAUGGGCGAAAGCCGGACGGAGCAAAGCCGCCUGGGUGAAGAAGGUAUUCGGAUCUGAAAACUAUGUUAUUAGGGAAGAACAAAUGUGUAAGUAACUAUGCACGUCUUGACGGUACCUAAUCAGAAAGCCACGGCUAACUACGUG